rnacentral:lncRNA from 1 species
UGUCGUUUCACUUUGUCACUGUUCCUUUCUCCGUGAACACUCUUCUCUCUCUUUCUCUUUCCUUUUUCUAUAUUUAAUUUCACAAAGUAUAAUCCAUCCUCCCUGUAAUCGGUGCCACCGCUCGUCUGUCAAUCUCUACUGCAAAUGCUGCCUCCAAUGCACCCGGCACCACAGCCGCCACCGACGUCCGGUUUUCCUCCGCCGAUUCUGUUUCCCUUCGAGCGGUGAGUUACACGAUUGUGAAGAAAAGAGUGUUUCAGAAACAUAGAGAGAGAGAUUAAAGAACUAACAAAAAAAAAAUGGCGCAAAGCUUCAAGAUGAAGGUGCUCACUCUCAUCACCAAGCUAUCCGACCGGGACACCUACACA